UACGAAGGGUGCAAGCGUUACUCGGAAUUACUGGGCGUAAAGGGUGCGUAGGUGGUUUGUUAAGUCUGCUGUGAAAUCCCCGGGCCCAACCUGGGAAUGGCAGUGGAUACUGGCAAGCUAGAGUGCGGUAGAGGGUAGUGGAAUUCCCGGUGUAGCAGUGAAAUGCGUAGAGAUCGGGAGGAACACCAGUGGCGAAGGCGGCUACCUGGACCAGCACUGACACUGAAGCACGAAAGCGUGGGGAGCAAACAGG
rnacentral:rRNA from 1 species